rnacentral:tRNA from 1 species
GCCAAGUAUCCUAACGGUGGGGAGCGGUUUUGAAAAUCGUGGACUGUAAAGGGUUAGAGGGUUCGACUCCUUCACUUGGCGC